UACGUAGGUGGCAAGCGUUGUCCGGAAUCACUGGGCUUAAAGCGUGUGUAGGCGGAUGCCUAAGUACCUUGUGAAAUCCCACGGCUCACCCGUGGAACUGCUUGGUAUACUGGGUGUCUUGAGCCACUUAGGGGCUACCGGAACAAAUGGUGGAGCGGUGAAAUGCGUAGAUAUCAUUUGGAACGCCAAUGGUGAAAACAGGUAGCUGGGAGUGUGCUGACGCUGAGACACGAAAGCCAGGGGAGCAAACGGG
rnacentral:rRNA from 1 species